UACGGAGGGUGCGAGCGUUGUCCGGAAUCAUUGGGCGUAAAGGGCGCGUAGGUGGCCCGGUCAGUUCGUGGUGAAAGCGCGGGGCUCAACCCUGCGUCGGCCAUGAAUACUGCCGCGGCUGGAGCACUGUAGAGGCAGGCGGAAUUCCGGGUGUAGCGGUGGAAUGCGUAGAGAUCCGGAAGAACACCUGCGGCGAAGGCGGGUUGCUGGGCUGACACUGACGCUGAUGCGCGAAAGCCAGGGGAGCGAACGGG
rnacentral:rRNA from 1 species